rnacentral:rRNA from 1 species
CCUACGGGAGGCAGCAGUGAGGAAUAUUGGUCAAUGGGCGCGAGCCUGAACCAGCCAAGUAGCGUGAAGGAUGACUGCCCUACGGGUUGUAAACUUCUUUUAUAAAGGAAUAAAGUGAGGCACGUGCGCCUUUUUGUAUGUACUUUAUGAAUAAGGAUCGGCUAACUCCGUGCCAUCAGCCGCGGUAAUACGUAGGAUCCGAGCGUUAUCCGGUGUUAUUGGGUUUAAAGGGAGCGUAGAUGGGUUGUUAAGUCAGUUGUGAAAGUUUGCGGCUCAACCGUAAAAUUGCAAUUGAUACUGGCAGUCUUGAGUACAGUGGAGGUAGGCGGAAUUCGUGGUGUAGCGGUGAAAUGCUUAGAUAUCACGAAGAACACCGAUUGCGAAGGCAGCUUACUAAACUGCCACUGACAUUGAUGCUCGAAAGUGUGGGGAUCAAACAGGAUUAGAUACCCUGGUAGUC